rnacentral:lncRNA from 1 species
GAAUUUGGCAACACCUCAGCAGUGAGCUACUGUUUAUAAGAAGAGAUCCCAGCAGCUAAAAGAAGCCAGUCAUUGGGAUGACUCACUACUUGCCUUGUGAACUGCUCAAGGGAAUUUCUUGAAGAACUAUGUCAAAAUCAGCUCUAGAAACCAUUAAUUUGAGAUCUUUCAUUGACACAUAACAAGUGCUCCCAGAUUAUUGUUGGUUAAGUUCGUGGGCUUGGAAGGAAGAUUCUUUUUGUCUGUACUGAGUGAAAAUUUUCCCCUUUUGUGCAAGGCAACAAGAAGAUAAAAAGGGCUUUUUUCCUCUCUGCAAGAAGAAAUCUGACGCAGUGUGAACCCAAUCAUCAAGGCACCAUGAACGCCUGCAGGAGGAUACAUUCUCUCCGUGCUCACAGGCAGAAAACCAACGGGAACAAAAGUGAGAACUGGCACAGCACCUCUGGGUUCAAGCACCAGCAAGGAGAUGAUCUUGUUACAGUCCAUACCCUUUACACAGUGAUCAUUGUGAUCCUUCUAAUGGCACUUUGGGGAGCCUGGUCACGAAAGAAUUCAUCCUUAUAGAAGCAAUUUAGCAGCUUUCUUUGUCAAGUAUUUAAAUAAGUACUUGUGUUGAUUACUCAUACCCAAGAAGUACAAAUAAUGGUCUCCGCGUAUUUCAAUUUACUUGAAACUGCUUAAAUGGUUGCUACUUGUGGAAGUGAAUUUAACAGACCAUGAUUUGUGAAUGACAGAUACCUGUUUGACCUCUACAUGUGUAUAUUACCCUCAGCACGUAUAUGAAACUUUGAAGCACAAUAUUCUAGAAAGAAGAGUUCAGCUUCUGUUUUAUUGGUCAACAUUUUGUAUGUCCACCCCAGCUUUCCAUUUUCGAGCUUAAACUGUGGAGUCUCUACCUCUGCCAAGAUUGCCUGUCCCAAUCCAUGGUAAAACAUACACCACAAGCAGGAAAAUAAUCUGCCAUGUCAUGACAAUAUAAGAAAAAAAAAUCAAUAAAACCAGCUGUCCUGCAGGCA